rnacentral:lncRNA from 1 species
UGCUUUGAUUGAUAAAUUUGGAAAGGUUGAUCAAGAGAUCUCAUGUAUCCUAUUAAACCAUGCGACCGUCAAGAGUAGCUGGCCACAGACCAGAUAAGGCAACUACAACUAUCAAAUCCUAAAAAUUAGGUCGAAAAUUUUGGAAUGACAUGCCUGAAGAAAUCGAAUAGCCUCCGACAACUCUUAUCUUGUACAGCUCUCAUCUCGAUCUAUAAAUAGAGGUGAUCAGAUGAUCUCAAGAUAUGCAAUCUCUCUCUUGAGUGCUCCUUUCCAUCUAUUCUGGAAGUUCUGAUUUGAGUGUCGGAGAAUCUUUAUUGGAGCUAACUCCGAUCAGAAAUUUAUUUUACAGAUCCGAUCACCAUCAGCUUGCGAAUUAUCAUCUAACUCCAAUCAAUCCAGCUCAAGCCAAAAAUCUGCAGCAACGAAUUAACAUUGAAGGAAGGAUUAGACUCACUUUUAGGAAGAAGUACGAGAUCUGUAACUAAGCUGCCAUAAAGAACUUCCUCACGACGUUCCAACGCCAUGAUGAGCCGGUCAGUCAAAAAUCCAAUUGAAAACCAUUCUCCGACUUAACAAUUGGAGAUGCCUCUGCAACCCUCUCAACUGACUGCAAGGGUGGAUCAGGACCAAUUCAACAUACUGAUUAUCUAAGUACAAACAUUGACCGCAGCAGUCAACGUCAUGUAACAAACAAACUCAGCACAGGAGGCAUCUUGGCAGCAACCAACUCAGCCUCCCCUUCGAAGUCCACCUCCCCUUUGAAGUCCAGAGAUGGAAAGACAGAUAUGAUUAAGUCGAUUUCAAAGUUCCGAGCAGAGAAGAUGUUCUCCUACUCCUCACUUUGAUAAGAGAUUUACUCCAGAUUGAUCUCCAUCGCACCAUAUAGAAGUUUACAUGAUCCGUGACGUCGAUAAGGAGCACAAACUCUAAGAGAUGAACUAAAAAUCUUGUAGAAAUCAUUAGUUUGAACCUUUCUAACUGUUUAAAUGAGAUUGGAUUAGGUCUAUUUUUUUUUUGAGUAUUCAAAAAGUCAUUGCGGUUCGAAUCUCAUAGGGCCCAAAAAAAAAAUAUCAAAAAAAAAAAACUCAGCUUUUUUUUUUCCUCUCUCGACUUAUGGGACUCAGACCGGCCUACUGCUAUGCUUUUCCAUGUAUAAAGACAAACGGGGUUAGGCUUUAUCUAGAUGGCUAUGCGAUUUUGGGCUCAUUCAUCCAAACAGGGGUUUCCGACGAGGAGGAGGAAGUACCGGCGCUUUCGGCGGUCUGUUCGGUAGGAAGUACCGGCUGCCGCAUCCAGUCGAGGGCGUCUGAAGCCAUGGCUCGACUCGCGUUCCUCUUGGAGUAC